GUUGAAGAACGCAGCGAAAUGCGAUAAGUAAUGUGAAUUGCAGAAUUCAGUGAAUCAUCGAAUCUUUGAACGCACAUUGCGCCCGCCAGUAUUCUGGCGGGCAUGCCUGUUCGAGCGUCAUUUCAACCAUCAAGCCCCCGGCUUGUGUUGGGGACCUGCGGCUGCCGCAGGCCCUGAAAACCAGUGGCGGGCUCGCUGUCACACCGAGCGUAGUAGAUUUUCAUCUCGCUCAGGGCGUGCUGCGGGUUCCGGCCGUAAAAAGCCUUAUUUACCCAAGGUUGACCUCGGAUCAGGUAGGAAGACCCGCUGAACUUAAGCAUAUCAAUAAGCGGAGGA
rnacentral:misc_RNA from 1 species